AGAUAAUAAACACGAAUCUUACUCCACUGGAAACUCUUAUCCCAUACUAAUCUCGCUAUUUUUCAGCUGAUCCAUGGAGUAAUAUCAGAGUAUGGUACAUCAAAUUCCGAGCUCUUGAGAGAAAGAAUUGAAUGCGAUGAGAAUUCUGGAAAAUGUUGACUGGCCGGCUUCCAUUUUGGAUUUAUUUGUUAAACCCAGAGAAAGUCCUGCUGUCAAUCUGAGUGAAGAACUUGUACCGAUGCAUAUGAGCCAAAAGAAGGCCUCCAAAGAUGGUUCGCAUGGCUAAUCUCUCUCAUGGGUGGUCAUGCCGUAAAUGUUGCGAAGAUUCAUAGCGAAUUUGUAAAGGAGGUGUUUAAAUGACUUCUAUAAGUUAAACCAAAACUUACUUUAUGCACUGUGGCCGCUUUCAAAAGCUGGGGGACUAUUUUGAUUGUGACAUUCUGUGAUGGUGCAAGUGAUGCAGUAACCUAGUCUCCUGUUCUGGAUAUAUUGAUCAGGAAUGCUGGUAAUUGCUGCUGCUUGGAUGGAUCUAGAUUCCAUUGCUUUGAUGGUCAUGCAGUCUAUCUUGGGUUCGUAAACUAAACAUGCAGGUGGCAGGAAGUACAUGGGGCGAGCUGUUGACCAUCAUUUCUUGGAUUUCAAUAACUCAAUGUGAUAUUGGCUUAUGGCAUAACUUGGACGACCUGUAUGGACUAGUUUGGACAAUUUGUAUACAGUUCUGAGCUUGCUAAAAGGGAUUGCAUAAAUGAGAUUGCUGAAAGCAUGAUGGUGUGUAACACCAACUAUAUGGACACUGGUCUUUUUGGUGUUGCCAAGGUGCGGACAGAAACCAGUCCAGAGGAUGUUGGAGGCAUGCAUGUGCUGCUGGGAUAUUUACAGCUAGAGGAGGCACGACAUCUCAUGCAGCUGUUGUAGCCUGUGGGUGGGGAAAGUGUUGCAUUGCAGGUUGUGCUGAUAUUCGAGCCAAUGAUUCCGAGAAGGUGGUUGUCAUCGGAGACAAGGUUAUUGGGGAAGGUAACUGGAUUUCACUAAAUCGAUCUAUGGGUCAAGUGAUAUUGGGUAAACAACUGCUCUCUCCUCCGGUUCUAAGUGGUGAUUUGGAGAUUUUCAUGUCUUGGGCGGACAAAUUAAGGCGGCUCAAGGUGCUGCGUGAGUUCAUGUUAUAUAGAUGUUUGUCCUUGCAGCAUCUGUUAGAAUUUAAAUAUGUUACAUGGACAUCUUGUAAUGUGUUAGGGUCCUGUAGAAUAAUUGGAUCACGACAAAACUAUCGAAGAUAGAUACUUUAUUUGAAUUUAACAUCGUAUCAUUAGGUCCUUGAUUGUGGUUGCGGGAUUGUAGAAUCUUUUCCUUGGAAUAGAAAAAGUGGAAGAAAACGGAUUGCCAUUA